rnacentral:misc_RNA from 1 species
GAUGAAGAACGCAGCGAAAUGCGAUAAGUAAUGCGAAUUGCAGAAUUCCAGUGAGUCAUCGAAUCUUUGAACGCACAUUGCGCCCUUUGGUAUUCCGAAGGGCAUGCCUGUUCGAGCGUCAUUAUCACCCCUCAAGCCCUCGGCUUGGUGUUGGACGGUUUGGUGGAGGCCCCCUCGGGGGCUCCUGCCCCUCCCAAAGACAAUGACGGCGGCCUCGUUGGACCCCCGGUACACUGAGUUCUUCACGGGACACGUAUCGGACACAUGGGGUUACGGGACACGGUCUGCCUCCCCUCAGGGAGAAUCUUUCUAAGGUUGACCUCGGAUCAGGUAGGGAUACCCGCUGAACUUAAGCAUAUCAAUAAGCGGAGGA